AUGGUCGAUACAUCAAAGCUCCGGCGGUACAGGAUGGACCCGCGUCUGAUUAGCUAGUUGGUGAGGUAAUGGCUCACCAAGGCGACGAUCAGUAGCCGACCUGAGAGGGUGAUCGGCCACAUUGGAACUGAGACACGGUCCAAACUCCUACGGGAGGCAGCAGUGGGGAAUAUUGCACAAGUGGGCGAAAGCCUGAUGCAGCAACGCCGCGUGAGCGAUGAAGGCCUUCGGGUCGUAAAGCUCUUCCUCAAGGAA
rnacentral:rRNA from 1 species